rnacentral:rRNA from 1 species
CCGGUUGAUCCUGCCGGACCCUACUGCUAUCGGGAUGGGGCUAAGACAUGUUAGUCGAGCGUUUCCAAGCCAUGGUGGAGACGCGGCGCACAGCUCAGUAGCACGUGGCUAACCUACCCUUGGGACGGAAGAACCCCCGGGAAACUGGGGCUAAUUUCCGAUAGGUGAAGAUACCUGGAAUGGUUUUUCGCCUAAAGGGCGCUUAGGGCAUGCUUCUAGGCGUUGCCCAAGGAUGGGGCCGCGGCCGAUCAGGUUGUUGGUGAGGUAACGGCUCACCAAGCCUUUAACCGGUGCGGGCCGUGGGAGCGGAAGCCCGGAGAUGGGCACUGAGACAAGGGCCCAGGCCCUACGGGGCGCAGCAGUCGCGAAAACUUCGCAAUAAGCGAAAGCUUGACGGGGCUAUCCCGAGUGCCAUCCGCUGAGGAUGGCUUUUCCCUAGUAUAGAUAGCUGGGGGAAUAAGGAGAGGGCAAGUCUGGUGUCAGCCGCCGCGGUAAUACCAGCUCUCCGAGUGGUGGGGACGUUUAUUGGGCCUAAAGCAUCCGUAGCCGGCUGGGUAAGUCCCCUGUUAAAUCCAGCGACCAAUCGUUGGUCUGCGGGGGAUACUGUCCGGCUAGGGGGCGGGAGAGGCCGUCGGUAUUCCUGGGGUAGGGGUGAAAUCCUAUAAUCCCGGGAGGACCACCAGUGGCGAAGGCUGUCGGCUAGAACGCGCCCGACGGUGAGGGAUGAAAGCUGGGGGAGCGAACCGGAUUAGAUACCCGGGUAGUCCCAGCUGUAAACGAUGCAGGCUAGGUGUUAGGGCGGCUACGUGCCGCUCUGGUGCCGCAGGGAAGCUGUUAAGCCUGCCGCCUGGGGAGUACGGCCGCAAGGCUGAAACUUAAAGGAAUUGGCGGGGGAGCA